GCACUGCUGAGGAGUCCCACAAUAGGACGUAAACGCACGUCCAGUGC
rnacentral:hammerhead_ribozyme from 1 species